rnacentral:rRNA from 1 species
AUUGAACGCUGGCGGUAUGCUUAACACAUGCAAGUCGAACGGUAGCAGGCCUUCGGGCGCUGACGAGUGGCGGACGGGUGAGUAACGCGUAGGAAUCUGCCUCAUAGGGGGGGACAACGUGGGGAAACUCACGCUAAUACCGCAUACGCCCCACGGGGGAAAGCGGGGGAUCGUCGGACAUCGCGCUAUGAGAUGAGCCUGCGUUGGAUUAGCUAGUUGGUAGGGUAAAGGCCUACCAAGGGGACGAUCGAUAGCUGGACUGGGAGGACGAUCAGCCACACUGGGACUGAGACCCGGCCCAGACUCCUACGGAAGGCAGAAGUGGGGAAGAUUGGACAAUGGGCGCAAGCCUGAUCCAGCAAUACCGCGUGUGUGAAGAAGGCCCUAGGGUUGUAAAGCACUUUCAAUAGGGAGGAAAACCUGUCGGUCAAUACCCGGCAGCUUGACAUUACCUAUACAAGAAGCACCGGCUAACUCCGUGCCAGCCGCCGCCGUAAUAC